CACAUACUUCCCCAAAUUCAAGCUAGGUAUUCUUUGGUUGAAUUCGCUUUCUCUUCAACACCGCCUCCGUCCGACACCACCACCGGCGACCACCAUCGCCUACCCUCUCUCUCUUCCUUCUUCUCUUUCUUCCCCAUUUCUCCAUUUCUUCGUUCCUGCGUGCGACGACACCCCUGUUCGUGGAGUCACCCUCUGUCCGCGUCUUCAAGCACCGACAAGCAACCACCAGCGGCGGCGACCUUCUGUGCCACUGCGACAUCACCACCAGCCCACCGCCUUUCCGUUCUUCUUCCUCCUUUCAUCAAUGCAGCACACUACACUACAACUACUACUUUCGGCAGAACAGAAAAGUACAUAAUAUAAAAGCCUCUUGCUAGCUGCUACUUUCAGGUUGAUUUCUCUACUUUCAGCUUUUUUAAAAGAUUCCCUCUCUCUCUGGUGCUGCAAAGUUAGGGUUUCCGAUGACCAGCAUUUCACAGUGGGAACUGUAGUGGUGUGGGUCAAUGGAAUCUUUUGAUCAAAGAAACAAUAGUGGAGUAUUUGGUUCUUCAGCAUAUACACUAUCACAAAGUAUUGGUAGAGUUUAAGACUCCCAGAAAAGCUAUUCAAGGAAAUUUUACUUUUUCAAGCUCUCAGAAAAGCACAGCUCUAGCCCCAGUCCCAACCCCAGUCCCAGGUAGAAAACUCCCACCUAUUCUGCAGCGACCAGGAUAACCACAGAGUUCUCAAAGGGAGGAUGAUUCUGACGAUUUUGAUGACUCAGAUGAUUAUUUAGACGAGUAUGAGUAGGUUAUUUAAUUACUUUGCUUUGAAUAUUUUGUAUUAUUAGUGGAUUGCAAUUUAAACGAAUAUAAGUCUAAGUUUUGUUAUUUAUCUUGUCUUGAGUCUUUAUGUUA